UUUCCUGAUUAUUGGAAAUAGGAUUUUUAAAAGUCUUUAUUUUUUCUGAAUAAGCUGUUUUCCAAAUUGUCAACACAGCCAGUAAGAAGGUAAAUAUAGAAGAGCUGGUUAAUAAACAGAGCGGUAAAAUUCAAUGUGGACAGAGAAAUUCUCCCAUUAAUUUUUCCUGGAAGCAGAAUUGCCUGUCAGAUUUGACAAAAAGGUGGUAAAUUUCUGGAGUGCACCAAGUGUGGUCCAGGGUCUGCGGUGGAUUCAGUAGGGGUCUCUGCGGAGGGCCGGAGGGACAGGGCAGGGCGUCGACAGGACAGCUGGUUCACAAGGGAAAUUCAAGGGGCAAGGCGAAGCUAUCAACUGGCAGGUGAAUCACAAGAUGAGAAGCUGGGAGGCCUAGAGGAAGAGCAGAGGUGUGGUGUGUGACAACGCACAGCCAGUGAUUCAGCACCACGGCUGUGAGAGGCCAGUGUGGAGGUGUCGUCAACUUUUGGUUUGGGGGCAGGACUCCUGUGGGAAGCAGACCCCGCUGCUGUCUUAUUAAGACAGAGGCUGUCUCUACACAGCCCAUCACUGCCUCUGUUGUGAGAAAUCAAACCCAGCCAUGACUUCCUGCGCACAAAAGCACACUGAUUCCUGCCAUUCCAAGCUUUCCAGCCCCACCUGCCACCACUCCCCACUCACUCCUCCGUGCUCUAGUCACAAGGAUUUCCUCAAACGGAUCAUUCUGUUUCAGUCACUGUGUCUUUGAGCAGUGUAUUAGACUUUGAGAUAAGUUGCCGUAACAAAGAGCAAAAACAACAACAACAAAAAACCUGUUUAUUUAUUAGCAAAUAAAACAGAUUGCCUUAAAUUAGAGUUUUUCUCCUAAAGCAGUCCAGAGGUGAGAGGCACAGAGCCGGCAGAGUAGCAGUGCUCCACACAGUCAUUCAGGGAUCCAGCUCCUAACAUCUUGCUCCUUCACCAUCUCCUGGGGUAUUGCCAUCAUCCACAGAGUUGCAGUGGGCUUACCUUCAUUUCUGGCAAAGAGAGAGCCCUGGGUCUUUAUUUAAGGUGAAGAGCUGACAGCAGAGCACACAGGCCUCCUGUUACCUGAGAACCUACCCAGGGCCCCCGCACGUGGAGGAAGGCCCUGAAGGCCAUUGCAACCAUAGGCAGGCAUCUCCACCCAAAACGGCUGGCUUGGGCUUGAAUGUUUAGGAGAACAAGGUAAAUCAGGUAAAUGAUCUGAUAUCAAGGAUUUAUAUUUUAAGAGAAAACAAUCAACUGGCUACAUCCCAGGAUCAAUAAACAUUCAGCCUU
rnacentral:lncRNA from 1 species